CAGGGUUUGUGUGAAUAGCAUUUUCUAUGUAUAAUACUACUUUAUCCACACAUGUAUAGUUUCAGAUAAAUAUUUCAUAAGCUUUUGUGUUUUUGUGAAUGCAUAUCGCUCCCUGAAACCUUCUUUUCUAUUUGCGUUUUUUCUUAAAUGCAUAUUAUGGUCUCCAUAUACAGUGGACACUAGGUAAAUGUUGGUUAAAGUGGAUAAUAAUUAAAAAUGUAAUAUUUACUCCUGUCAGCUGAGUAAAUAUUUAACCUCGUAUGACUGUGUGACAGUUUGUGCAGACCACUAUCGCUUCCUGUUUGCAGGGAAUUUUUGUCUGUUGCUAACUUAUUGCUUCUCUUGUCUUCUUUGCCUACGUAGCUCAGAUGUAGAAUAUGGGGCUUAUGCAUUAGACCAGAAUGUUGUUCUUAAGGGUUUUAUUACCCAGAUCAUAUGUCAACCUAUCAUAAAGACCAAGUACUCAGCAGCUGGAUUAAAGUGGUGGUGAGCUUUAUCUGGGAGAGACAGAACCCGUAGGCGCCUCUAGUGCCAGAUUGUUGGGGUUGAAGUUCAGGUUGAAGUUCUAGCUGUGUGGUUUAGGCCAAGUUACUUAAUUUCUCUGCACGCCAAUUUUCUCUGCUAUAAAACAGGAUGAUGAUAAUUAUGUUCAUGCCAUAGGGUAGUUAUAAGUAGUAAAUGACUAAAUAUAUGUAACAGAGUAAGAACUAUGUAAAUACCAGCUACCCUUGCCACAACUAGUUUUUAAGUUUGCCUUGAGUCUUUAUAUGUGUAUGUGGAUUCAGAUGCUAUACAUAAAGAUUCAAGAAAAUGAGUGGUUAGGUUUAUUCACUCUUGAGAAGUAAAUUCUGUAAGUUCAGGAUAACACACACCCAAGUUUUGAUGCCAAGGCAGCGCCGACUCUGGAAGAAGCUGAGAAGAGUGAAAACUAGUUCCUGUUCUAACAAGUGCCCUGCACUCUUCAAAACAAGAUCAAAGAAGGUGGAGGGACUAGUCCAGAUUCAAGAGACUAGAGAGGCAUGACAUCUGAAUGCAGUUCAUGAUCUAUGUUGGUUCCUGGAUGCUAUGAAGGACAUUAUUGGGGAAACUGGAAGAAUUUGAAUGCAGCACAUAAAAUUAUCAUGCAUCUAGCAUCUCACCCAGACACUGAAAAAUGAUGAAUCCACAGAACCCUGACACUGGAAAGGAAGCGUAAGCAGCAGCCAGAACCUGAGAGGAGACAUCAUUAAGUGAAGAUCUCAUGGAGCUCAGCUGAAAAUCCCUGUCGGGAGCAGUCACAGCUUUGCCCCCUGGCAGGGAAGAUCUUACUGGUGACUGAGAGAAGCCUCUGCCUACUCCCUGGUUCAAGAAUUCAAGACGGUUGCCAGCUAGAGCACAGGACAGCUGUGCCUGCAGCAAGCAGAAGUUUCCAGGCCAGAGAUCAAACCUGCACCACAGCAGUGACCUGAGCCGCAGCGGUGGCAAUGCCAGAUCCUUAACCCACUGUGCCGCUAGGGAACUAUGACCAAUGGUGUCUUCUUGCUAAAAUAUCCAACCUGUUAGGUGAUCAAGUCUGUAUUCAAUGACCCAUCAGAGAAGGAGAGCAUAGGAAAUGCAGGGGGUAGCAAACAGAUUAAAAGACACUACGUGGAUGCAAUCAACAAAAUACAGAAUGUUGGAAAUCCUGCAGGACAAAGCCACCCAAUGUUUUCACCAUCUCAAUGGCAAAGAGGGAAAAGAAAGUGUAGCAGACGCUGUCAGUGCCCACCUGUCUUUUAUGCCUUUUGCUGUGCUCAGCCUGACUUCUAGUUGUCACAAGCUCAUCUCUGUGCCAAAGAGCUUUUUUCCCUGAACUGUGGAAGGCUGCUCUGCCCACUUUUGGAAGGUCGGGAGUACCAGGAAAUGAAUGCUCCGGAAGCAGCCCUUAAUCAAUGACUAAAGUGGAUGAAUUAAUACUAGCUUUUUUAAAUCUCAGGAGGAUAAUUCUGAGGGUGUUUGUGUGUGUUUAUACCUGUUCUAAGAAUUAGUCAUGCUCCGGUAAAUGGUUAAAUAGCAUUGUUGGUUUAUGCUUCAUACCCUUUGUUGCUUGCCUUUUCUUCCUCCCCUGUGUUAUUUUCUCUUUCCCUUGUGGUGUGCCCUGAACUUCUGAAAUAAACCGUAUGUAU
rnacentral:lncRNA from 1 species